CUGGCGGCACGCCUAACACAUGCAAGUCGAACGAAGUAGCAAUACUUAGUGGCAGACGGGUGAGUAACAUGUGGGUAUCUACCCUUUGGCCUGGAAUAACACGAGGAAACUUGUGCUAAUACUGGAUAAGUCUUUACGGAGAAAGCUUUAUGCACCAUUGGAUGAGCCCGCACUUGAUUAGUUUGUUGGUGGGGUAAUGGCCUACCAAGACUGUGAUCAAUAGCUGAUUUGAGAGGAUGAUCAGCCACAUUGGGACUGAGACACGGCCCAAACUCCUACGGGAGGCAGCAGUGGGGAAUCUUGCACAAUGGAGGAAACUCUGAUGCAGCGAUGCCGCGUGAGUGAAGAAGGCCCUUGGGUUGUAAAGCUCUUUCGUCGGGGAAGAAAAUGACUGUACCCGAAUAAG
rnacentral:rRNA from 1 species